UUUAAAACACUAUAUUGUGUGACUGUUUUUAACUAUUAAAUGAAAUGUCUUUGGCCCAAAAAUUUCUUGAUGAUUGGUAUAACUGAAGCUUGUGGCACUUGGAUGAUAGAUCUCUACUAUCUUUUUUGUUAUUAACUAUGUGCUUUGCUUCCCAGUUCUACCAUAAGAAUUUUUUGACGGGAACUUUAAUUGUAAAUUUACCCCAUUUUCAACCAUUCAAUUAAUUUGAAAUUCCUUGUUGUUUGCUACAUCUGAAGGUCCUG
rnacentral:lncRNA from 1 species